AUCAGCACUGUGCAAACUGGGUGCCGUUCUGCUUGCAGAGAAAAACCACUCAACCGAAGCCUGGAGACUGGAUCUUCUGUGCCUGGGAAAACCUGAAAUAAGGUACAGAAAAAUGAGCCUCCGGGAUUUCCAAGCAGAGGUUUGGGCAGACCCAAAGGAGCCGACAGCCUGGCCAGGGAAAGCCCUCAUUGAAGGAAAAGCUCCAGUAGUCCCCAGAGAACUUCCCCAGAGAUGGAGUCAUUCGCACAGGGACUUCCACCACUUCUGUCCUGCUGGAAACCUCUCUAACAACUUUCCCCCUGGAAUUCAGAUGGAGGAGCAUGGAGGUGACUGCAUGUUACCCACAGUUGUUUCUUUCAGAGCCUGUCCAGCCAAAUUCUCUGAAGGACUGAUGCUAAAAUGAGAUCUUCCUGUGCUCUUCAGCAGCUCUGCGCCUGCAGGGAUGGGACAGAUUGCUUGUUCAUAUAUCAGUCCAUUGUUUCAUGAAACAAUGCUGGUAAGAAAUGAAUGGAAAAAAGAGUAGAGGUCAAGUGCAAGCUUUUAUUAUUUGUUAAACUCGCAGUAAGGGGAAAACAUUCUCCUAAGGUGACAUGUGUAGGAGGGCCUGUCUACCCACUAGAUGGUGCUAAAAAAUAAUGUAUUAUAACUGCCCAGAGCAUGGCUCUGCCAACCAACCCUGUGUGCACAGCAGCCGCUGCUUCUGAGGAGGCAAUGCCUGGGUGAUGCACCACCCUGCAAUGUGCUAGGCAUGUGGUUUAAAAUCACCUGGAAGCCAAUAUGCUUUCUACUCUAAUCUGAGUUCAAUUUGGUUUACUUGGUGUAUAGAUGUGCCCUGAAAGAGAAGGGUUAGUUCAGGUGUAGUUUGGUAACUCCUGUUUUUUGCAAACUGAGCAUCUCCACAAGCAGCAGCUGCUGGGCUGGCACAGUGUGUGGCGUUGGGGUUGGGCUCAUCGGGCUCAGCAGCGAUGGCCAAGGAGACCUGCAGGUCAGCAGCCAGCAAGAUGGAAAAUCAUUCCAUUCAGACCAGGCAAGUUUAAAACACCUUGUGAGGAGGAAAGCCCUGGCAUGGCUGGGGCCACCAAGGGAGUGAGUAGCUCCCUUGGAGAAGGGCACCCAGCAGACUGAGGACAUCAAGCACUGAAAUGUUUUCUCUCAGAUUUUAAGAAAACCAUUUUCAUUUCAAAAGUUUCAUCUUUGUGAAGGCAUGUACUUAAUAUUGAGCAAUUUUCAUAUUUAUUUAAGACAGGGCACUGCUUUCUCUUGGGUACACAAGGAGGUACUACAAGAACUCGCUUUUUAAAAUAUUUCUUACUUAAUUCCAGCUUUCACUUUUAUUUGUUGUUGUUGUUUGUUUGUUUUUCUUUUUUUCCUGCACUAUUUUUAAUUAACUGCAGGAAUUAAUCACUCUUGCUAGUGGACAUAACAAGCUGGAUUCAGAUCCAUACUACAAUUCAGAAUUACUAUAUCUGAUGAGAGUUUCCCUGAUAUUACAUGAUUGAUAGUGAGAUCAAUUUCUGGCCCUGUUUGCCUGUGGCUUUCAUGUUAUGCAACAAACAUUCAAAGGCAGAAUACGAUGCUCUCACACAGCCACAGGAAAAAUGACAGACAUGGGGUAUACGACAAGGAUAUAAGUGAGGAAUCUGACCCUUAAAGCUGCAAUCCUGUACAGUCUGGAAAAGCUUUCUGGGUAAAAAGCAGGGCCAGAGGUCAGACUGAUUUCUGCAGCGGUCACAGGUCAGCUGAGGUCAGGUCAUCUGCAAUAAGCAGAUAUUUCUAUCCUGGAGCACUGGGUAACAUGGUCCUGGCACAUCCGUGUUCCAAACACAUGGCCAAUAUUUGUUAUUACAUAUCAUUUAUUAAAGCUUGGCCAAUCAUAAUAGCAAAUUUGUAUGCAUGUGAAGAUGUCUGUAUUUUGCCAAAAGUAGCUCAUGCAUGAAAAAUAUUACAUAAACUUUCUGAACAUAUAUCAAAAUAAAUAUUACAAAUUACAGGAAA